CGCAAAGCAAAUGUUUGGUUAGUGCGGGAUAAAUGAAGAACGAUGACAUUACCAACCGACUCGAUUUACCGACCGAAUAAUUAUCGACGGAGCGUAUCUCUUGUAUUUCCGCUAGAUAGCGCUGCAUUACCAAAAAGUAAAUGCAAGCAUUUCCGGUUCCCUCCAUAAUUGCUACUAGUCGAGUUUUCGUCGAGGGAGAAUUGAAUCUGCGUUAAUCUUUUCAUCAAGUGUUACGUACUAGGUUACUCAAGAGGCGCGAAAAGAGAGCAAUUUGGCGGCUUCGGAAGUCAAAGAGAUCACAUCAAAGUAGUUAUACAACUCAGUUUACAUAAUCAACUUCGUUGUUAUGCUUUGAUCGGUGAUUAAUAAAACUGAUUCCUGAUCGUCAUUAAACCGGUUUCACUCACAUUACCCCAAUGACUUCGCGAGACCCAGUUUCAAGAAGCUCACGCCAAGCUCGCGUCCACUUCCGCCGGCUGAUCAAGUAAUCAGAUAUAUGCAGAAGCAAGGAAAACCAACGCAGGUUGCAUCGGUGACGGACGAUGCAUAUACAAUACUUGUUACGCAUAUACACGCCUAUACAACACGAUCAUGUACGCGUGCAGACCGUGUCGUUGUCGUCUGGAAAUUACGAGGGUAACCUCAACGUAUGUUCCUUAAAUUAGGCCAAGUAUAUGAUAAUAAAUAUAAUAUAUACGAAGAGUAAAAUUGUUAAUAUUAAAAUGUGGAUAUUAAAUUU